AUUGAACGCUGGCGGCAGGCCUAACACAUGCAAGUCGAACGGUAACAGAAAGCAGCUUGCUGCUUUGCUGACGAGUGGCGGACGGGUGAGUAAUGUCUGGGAAACUGCCUGAUGGAGGGGGAUAACUACUGGAAACGGUAGCUAAUACCGCAUAACGUCGCAAGACCAAAGAGGGGGACCUUCGGGCCUCUUGCCAUCGGAUGUGCCCAGAUGGGAUUAGCUAGUAGGUGGGGUAACGGCUCACCUAGGCGACGAUCCCUAGCUGGUCUGAGAGGAUGACCAGCCACCCUGGAACUGAGACACGGUCCAGACUCCUACGGGAGGCAGCAGUGGGGAAUAUUGCACAAUGGGCGCAAGCCUGAUGCAGCCAUGCCGCGUGUAUGAAGAAGGCCUUCGGGUUGUAAAGUACUUUCAGCGGGGAGGAAGGGAGUAAAGUUAAUACCUUUGCUCAUUGACGUUACCCGCAGAAGAAGCACCGGCUAACUCCGUG
rnacentral:rRNA from 1 species